ACGAAGGUCCCAAGCGUUGUUCGGAAUCACUGGGCGUAAAGCGUGUGUAGGCGGCAGAGUAAGUCAGAUGUGAAAUCCCGGGGCUCAACCUCGGAACUGCAUCCGAUACUGCUUUGCUAGAGUAGCGGAGGGGCAUAUGGAAUUCACGGUGUAGCAGUGAAAUGCGUAGAUAUCGUGAGGAACACUAGUGGCGAAGGCGAUAUGCUGGACGCUUACUGACGCUCAAACACGAAGGCUAGGGUAGCGAAAGGG
rnacentral:rRNA from 1 species